UACGUGGGGUGCGAGCGUUAUCCGGAUUUACUGGGCGUAAAGCGUACCGUCGGCGUCUUGGUAAGUUUUCUGUUUAAGCCUGGGGCUUAACUCCAGAUCAGCAGAGAAAACUAUCGAGAUUGAGUCUGUUCGGGGAAUUUGGAAUUCUCGGUGGAGGGGUGAAAUCCGUAGAUAUCGAGAGGAACGCCAAGCGCGAAGGCAGAAUUCUAGAACACGACUGACGCUCAGGGACGAAAGCUAGGGGAGCAAAAGGG
rnacentral:rRNA from 1 species